CAUGCAGCAAUAUAAUGAUGUGAUAUGCUUGAUUUACCUGCUUGAUUAUAGGGACUCGAAAAAGAAUUUAUUUGCAGUAGCUAACCGAAUAUAAAAAUGUUCACAUUAACGAUUGCGCCCUAACACCGGUUCUAAGCUUCGAUGCAGAGUACACGAGCUUUGUUCGCCAGUGACAGGCGUAUGAGGCCCUUGGACGGUCCCAUCUGAAAUUUGCCAAAACAAAAUCAAAAUUUCAGAUGGGACCUUUGGUCGCACAUUAACAAUUUUUUGUUUUCUCUAUUAAAAGUAUGUUUUGUAACUAAAAUUAAAUGAAGAUAACACUCAAGAGUCGCCAAGAGCAAGCUAGUCCGCUAAUCAAUCAAGUUAGCUGGCGGAACUUUGAUUAUAAUAUAUUAUCUUGGCGGAGCUCUUUAUCAUCGGAUUCCUGACCAAGCACGACAUCGAUCCCAACACAAACAAGAGGGGUUACUUUCGUUUGUGAACUGCCAGUUAAUGAAGGAAAUGACUUCAGUGGAAUCUUUGAUUGCGAAUCGCAUAUCCUACUGCUGCCAACCUCCCAUACGGCAGAUCCCAGGCAACCCAAAUCCCCACGCUAGCCGACGCUGUGCUCUUUCGUUAUUAAGAUCACAUCCCAUGGAUUAUUUGCUUAGGCUGGGCCAGUCGACUGUGCAAGCGCAUCGAAAAGGAAUUAGUGAUCAACAAUCAACUAACAACGUUUGCCGCGACAAGUACCGUGAGAUUUUUUUUUAAACGGAACUCGCUCUCUUAACGAUGGUCUGGAGGGGAGGAAAAAUGUGGCCUACCAGAAGAUCCUGAACAAUUUUAGGUUUUUCAGCGAGCUUUGCCACUGACGAAAUGGAAGAGGGUUUACCAUUGGCCGUCGUGCUGGCAUAUUGCAGAACUGUGAUGACUUGGGAGCUCGUCUGGAUUUCAAGACUCAGAUCACUAUACAGAGAUCUCGGACAUUAGUCCCGUGUUAUGUGAUAGAAGAAAA